CGCUAUCUACAGGCUUAACACAUGCAAGUCGAGGGGCAGCAUGGUCUUAGCUUGCUAAGGCCGAUGGCGACCGGCGCACGGGUGAGUAACACGUAUCCAACCUGCCGUCUACUCUUGGACAGCCUUCUGAAAGGAAGAUUAAUACAAGAUGGCAUCAUGAGUCCGCAUGUUCACAUGAUUAAAGGUAUUCCGGUAGACGAUGGGGAUGCGUUCCAUUAGAUAGUAGGCGGGGUAACGGCCCACCUAGUCUUCGAUGGAUAGGGGUUCUGAGAGGAAGGUCCCCCACAUUGGAACUGAGACACGGUCCAAACUCCUACGGGAGGCAGCAGUGAGGAAUAUUGGUCAAUGGGCGAGAGCCUGAACCAGCCAAGUAGCGUGAAGGAUGACUGCCCUAUGGGUUGUAAACUUCUUUUAUAAAGGAAUAAAGUCGGGUAUGGAUACCCGUUUGCAUGUACUUUAUGAAUAAGGAUCGGCUAACUCCGUGCCAGCAGCCGCGGUAAUACGGAGGAUCCGAGCGUUAUCCGGAUUUAUUGGGUUUAAAGGGAGCGUAGAUGGAUGUUUAAGUCAGUUGUGAAAGUUUGCGGCUCAACCGUAAAAUUGCAGUUGAUACUGGAUAUCUUGAGUGCAGUUGAGGCAGGCGGAAUUCGUGGUGUAGCGGUGAAAUGCUUAGAUAUCACGAAGAACUCCGAUUGCGAAGGCAGCCUGCUAAGCUGCAACUGACAUUGAGGCUCGAAAGUGUGGGUAUCAAACAGGAUUAGAUACCCUGGUAGUCCACACGGUAAACGAUGAAUACUCGCUGUUUGCGAUAUACUGCAAGCGGCCAAGCGAAAGCGUUAAGUAUUCCACCUGGGGAGUACGCCGGCAACGGUGAAACUCAAAGGAAUUGACGGGGGCCCGCACAAGCGGAGGAACAUGUGGUUUAAUUCGAUGAUACGCGAGGAACCUUACCCGGGCUUAAAUUGCAGAUGAAUUACGGUGAAAGCCGUAAGCCGCAAGGCAUCUGUGAAGGUGCUGCAUGGUUGUCGUCAACUCGUGCCGUGAGGUGUCGGCUUAAGUGCCAUAACGAGCGCAACCCUUGUUGUCAGUUACUAACAGGUUCCGCUGAGGACUCUGACAAGACUGCCAUCGUAAGAUGUGAGGAAGGUGGGGAUGACGUCAAAUCAGCACGGCCCUUACGUCCGGGGCUACACACGUGUUACAAUGGGGGGUACAGAGGGCCGCUACCACGCGAGUGGAUGCCAAUCCCCAAAACCUCUCUCAGUUCGGACUGGAGUCUGCAACCCGACUCCACGAAGCUGGAUUCGCUAGUAAUCGCGCAUCAGCCACGGCGCGGUGAAUACGUUCCCGGGCCUUGUACACACCGCCCGUCAAGCCAUGGGAGCCGGGGGUACCUGAAGUGCGUAACCGCGAGGAGCGCCCUAGGGUAAAACUGGUGACUGGG
rnacentral:rRNA from 1 species